rnacentral:rRNA from 1 species
CGUUUGGGGAGCAGCCUGCGUCCUAUCAGCUUGUUGGCGGGGUAACGGCCCACCAAGGCGAAGACGGGUAGCUGAUCUGAGAGGAUGAUCAGCCACACUGGGACUGAGACACGGCCCAGACUCCUACGGGAGGCAGCAGUAGGGAAUAUUGCGCAAUGGGGGAAACCCUGACGCAGCGACGCCGCGUGAGCGAAGAAGGCUUUAUUAGUCGUAAAGCUCUGUAGGGAGGGAAGAACCGCAGGUGGUAACGCAUCUGUCUGACGGUACCUCCAAAGUAAGGACCGGCUAAAUACGUGCCAGCAGCCGCGGUAAUACGUAUGGUCCGAGCGUUGUCCGGAAUUACUGGGCAUAAAGGGUGCGUAGGCGGAUGUGUAAGUCAGGUGUGAAAGCCCUCGGCUCAACCGGGGAAUUGCGCUUGAAACUGCACGUCUAGAGCAUGUCAGAGGCAGGCGGAAUUCCCGGAGUAGCAGUGAAAUGCGUAGAUAUCGGGAAGAACACCGGUGGCGAAGGCGGCCUGCUGGGACAGUGCUGACGCUGAGGCACGAAAGCGUGGGGAGCGAACGGGAUUAGAUACCCCGGUAGUCCACGCCGUAAACGAUGGAUACUAGAUGUUGGACACGCUGAAGUGUUCAGUGUCGAAACAAAUGCGAUAAGUAUCCCGCCUGGGGAGUACGACCGCAAGGUUUAAACUCAAAGGAAUUGACGGGGGCCCGCACAAGCGGUGGAGCAUGUGGUUUAAUUCGAUGCAACGCGAAGAACCUUACCCGGAUUUGACAUCCUUCGGACCGUCUCUGGAGACAGAGACUUUCUCUUCGGAGACCGAAGUGACAGGUGCUGCAUGGCUGUCGUCAGCUCGUGUUGUGAAAUGUUGGGUUAAGUCCCGCAACGAGCGCAACCCUUGUUCUUAGUUGCCAGCAUUAAGAUGGGCACUCUAAGAAGACUGCCGAGGUUAACUCGGAGGAAGGUGGGGAUGACGUCAAGUCCUCAUGGCCCUUAUGUCCGGGGCUACACACGUGCUACAAUGGUAUAGACAGAGGGAAGCUACGCCGCAAGGCCACGCGGAUCCUCAAACUGUAUCACAGUUCGGAUCGGGGUCUGCAACUCGACCUCGUGAAGGUGGAAUCGCUAGUAAUCGCGGAUCAGCAUGCCGCGGUGAAUAAGUU